rnacentral:rRNA from 1 species
ACGAACGCUGGCGGCGUGCUUAACACAUGCAAGUCGAGCGGUAAGGCCCUUUCGGGGGUACACGAGCGGCGAACGGGUGAGUAACACGUGGGUGACCUGCCUUUAGCUCUGGGAUAAGCCUGGGAAACCGGGUCUAAUACCGGAUAUGACUCCGCGGCGCAUGUUGUGGGGUGGAAAGCCUUGUGCGGCUGGAGAUGGGCCCGCGGCCUAUCAGCUUGUUGGUGGGGUGAUGGCCUACCAAGGCGACGACGGGUAGCCGGCCUGAGAGGCGACCGGCCACACUGGGACUGAGACACGGCCCAGACUCCUACGGGAGGCAGCAGUGGGGAAGUCUUGCGCAAUGGGCGAAAGCCUGACGCAGCGACGCCGCGUGAGGGAUGACGGCCUCGGUU